GGGGGAUAUUGCACAAUGGAGGAAACUCUGAUGCAGCAACGCCGCGUGAGGGAAGAAGGUCUUCGGAUUGUAAACCUUUGUCCUUGGUGACGAAACAAAUGACGGUAGCCAAGGAGGAAGCUCCGGCUAACUACGUGCCAGCAGCCGCGGUAAUACGUAGGGAGCAAGCGUUGUACGGAUUUACUGGGUGUAAAGGGUGCGUAGGCGGCUCUGCAAGUCAGGCGUGAAAACUAUGGGCUUAACCCGUAGACUGCGUUUGAAACUGUGGGGCUUGAGUGAAGUAGAGGUAGGCGGAAUUCCCGGUGUAGCGGUGAAAUGCGUAGAGAUCGGGAGGAACACCAGUGGCGAAGGCGGUCUGCUGGGCUUUAACUGACGCUGAGGCACGAAAGCAUGGGGAGCAAAC
rnacentral:rRNA from 1 species